GCUCUUAUAGCUCAGUCGGCAGAGCGCGUCCUUGGUAAGGACGAGGUCACCGGUUCAAAUCCGGUUAAGAGCUCCA
rnacentral:tRNA from 1 species